rnacentral:lncRNA from 1 species
ACCGGCACAGCGACGGUAACAUCGCCGCGUGGACCCGGUCACUGAAGCUGCGGGCGGGCUUCGGCGCCACCUGGCGGCGAGGCGCGGCACUGCAGGCGCUCCCGGGGCUGUCGGCGCGUCGCUGUUCUCGCGUCGUUGUUUUAGUGUCUACAGCUCCAGAUGUGUCAAUAAAAUGUUAAAGUCAAACUUGAUAGAGAAGCAGCAGUUUGGACAUAUUUCUUUUCUUUUUCGGUACCGGGGAUCGAACUCUGGUUCUUGCGCUUGCGAGGCAGGUGGCAGAACCACUGAGCUACAUCCCCAGCAGCAUUACUAUUUAUUUCCCCAGUUUUAUUUAUUAAGUUUUAAGCUUUUCCCAUUUUAUUUAGAUAUAAUUAGCAAAUAAAAUUGUAUAUUUUUAUGGGAUACAACACGUUUUCAGGUAGAACAUUUAAAACACUGGCUCCAGUAAAAUUCUACACAUUGCAUUUGAAACAGUAAAUGUCCCUCCUGUCUUCUUUUUCUUCUUCUUUUUUCUCUCUCCCUUCCUUUUUCCUUUCCUUCCCUUCUCCUCCCUUUCCUCUCUCCUUCUCUUUCUUUCCCUUCCUUUCUUGCUGGGGUUUGAAUCCAGUGCCUGGCACUGGGCCACAUCCUUCACCCUUUGUGAGAUAGGAUCUUGCUAGAUUGCCCAGGUGGUCAAGAGCUUGUGACCCCCCCCGCCUCAGCCUCCUGAGUGGCUGGGAUUACAGUUGUGCCCCACUGCUCCUGGCUCUCCAUCUCUGUAGUCUGAAACAAUCCAGUCCUUUUUCUUCUUAGAAUUGACUUUUUUUUUUUGGUACUGGGGACCAAACUUGUGUCCUUGCACUUGCGAGGCAGGCAGCGGAACCACUGAGCUAAAUCCCUGGCCCUAGAAUUGACUUUUUGAAGAGGCGAGGAUAGAUGCCAGGCAAGUGCUCUGCCGAGGAACUGCCUUCCAGCCCCAGAUAAACGUUUUUGCAGUCAAUAUAGCUUUUCUGUAAGAGUUGUCAUAGCCAUAACCAUCGUCCUACCUCUAAGUAGAAGUCCCUACCAGCAGAAUUUUAGCACUAUCUAUAGUUCAAAAUAAUUGAGAAAAAAAUCAAUAAAUACAACAUAAUACUACAAAAUUAUUUGUCUACUGAAAGACCUGUUUUGAAAAUUUAUAGGUUAAGGCAGUCAAAUUGUAGUUGUUAUCAGUGAAGCUUCAGGUAUUUUACUUAAAAAUGUUUUAGUAAUUUACUUGAGCUGUGUGCACUGGUACACACCUAUAACCCCAGUGCUCAGGAGGCUGAGGCAGGAGGAUCUUGAAUUUGAGGCCAGCCUGGGCUCUGCAGCAAGUUCAGUCCAAUUGUGGAUUACAUGGUGAGACUCUUGUCUCACAAAAAAAGUGUUUUAGCAACUUACAUAAAAUGUAAAAUGUGAAAGAUACUUUUUGCUGAUCCCUUGGAAAUGAAAGUAUUGACAUCUAAAAUAACAGCCUAUUUUAUUGUGAGUAUUUGAGAAAAACGUACAUGUUUAGAUUUUUAACUGUGUAGCCUGGGAGAGAGCUGAUGUUUGCAGGCCAAAGUUUUACAAAAUUUUCUGAACAUUUUAAGUUGGAACUGUAAUUCACCACAUUAAAGCGCAUGUCUUUGACGAUAUAAAUCUGUGAAUAAAC